GGGUCGUUAGCUCAGUUGCAGAGCAGUUGAUCUCUUUAAUCACUGGUCGCAGGUUCGAAUCCCGCACGACUCC
rnacentral:tRNA from 1 species